ACGAACGCUGGCGGCGUGCCUAAUACAUGCAAGUAGAACGCUGAAGAGAGGAGCUUGCUCUUCUUGGAUGAGUUGCGAACGGGUGAGUAACGCGUAGGUAACCUGCCUUGUAGCGGGGGAUAACUAUUGGAAACGAUAGCUAAUACCGCAUAACAAUGGAUGACACAUGUCAUUUAUUUGAAAGGGGCAAUUGCUCCACUACAAGAUGGACCUGCGUUGUAUUAGCUAGUAGGUGAGGUAAUGGCUCACCUAGGCGACGAUACAUAGCCGACCUGAGAGGGUGAUCGGCCACACUGGGACUGAGACACGGCCCAGACUCCUACGGGAGGCAGCAGUAGGGAAUCUUCGGCAAUGGGGGCAACCCUGACCGAGCAACGCCGCGUGAGUGAAGAAGGUUUUCGGAUCGUAAAGCUCUGUUGUAAGUCAAGAACGGGUGUGAGAGUGGAAAGUUCACACUGUGACGGUAGCUUAGCAGAAAGGGACGGCUAACUACGUGCCAGCAGCCGCGGUAAUACGUAGGUCCCGAGCGUUGUCCGGAUUUAUUGGGCGUAAAGCGAGCGCAGGCGGUUUGAUAAGUCUGAAGUUAAAGGCUGUGGCUCAACCAUAGUUCGCUUUGGAAACUGUCAAACUUGAGUGCAGAAGGGGAGAGUGGAAUUCCAUGUGUAGCGGUGAAAUGCGUAGAUAUAUGGAGGAACACCGGUGGCGAAAGCGGCUCUCUGGUCUGUAACUGACGCUGAGGCUCGAAAGCGUGGGGAGCGAACAGGAUUAGAUACCCUGGUAGUCCACGCCGUAAACGAUGAGUGCUAGGUGUUGGAUCCUUUCCGGGAUUCAGUGCCGCAGCUAACGCAUUAAGCACUCCGCCUGGGGAGUACGACCGCAAGGUUGAAACUCAAAGGAAUUGACGGGGGCCCGCACAAGCGGUGGAGCAUGUGGUUUAAUUCGAAGCAACGCGAAGAACCUUACCAGGUCUUGACAUCCCGAUGCUAUUUCUAGAGAUAGAAAGUUACUUCGGUACAUCGGUGACAGGUGGUGCAUGGUUGUCGUCAGCUCGUGUCGUGAGAUGUUGGGUUAAGUCCCGCAACGAGCGCAACCCCUAUUGUUAGUUGCCAUCAUUCAGUUGGGCACUCUAGCGAGACUGCCGGUAAUAAACCGGAGGAAGGUGGGGAUGACGUCAAAUCAUCAUGCCCCUUAUGACCUGGGCUACACACGUGCUACAAUGGUUGGUACAACGAGUUGCGAGUCGGUGACGGCGAGCUAAUCUCUUAAAGCCAAUCUCAGUUCGGAUUGUAGGCUGCAACUCGCCUACAUGAAGUCGGAAUCGCUAGUAAUCGCGGAUCAGCACGCCGCGGUGAAUACGUUCCCGGGCCUUGUACACACCGCCCGUCACACCACGAGAGUUUGUAACACCCGAAGUCGGUGAGGUAACCUUUUGGAGCCAGCCGCCUAAGGUGGGACAGAUGAUUGGGGUG
rnacentral:rRNA from 1 species